GACGAACGCUGACAACGUACCUAACACAUGCAAGUCGAACGGAAUCAGUAAGAAAAAGUUUUCGGAUGGAAUCUUGUUGAUUUAGCGGCGGACGGGUGAGUAACGCGUGAGCGACCAACCUUGCACAGGGGGAUAACGGACCGAAAGGUUCACUAAUACCGCAUGAGACCACGGUGUUGCAUGACACAGGGGUCAAAGGAGCAAUCCGGUGCAAGACGGGCUCGCGUCCGAUUAGGUAGUUGGAGGGGUAACGGCCCACCAAGCCUAUGAUCGGUAGCCGACCUGAGAGGGUGAUCGGCCACAUUGGAACUGAGAUACGGUCCAAACUCCUACGGGAGGCAGCAGUGGGGAAUAUUGGGCAAUGGGGGAAACCCUGACCCAGCAACGCCGCGUGAAGGAAGAAGGUUUUCGGAUUGUAAACUUCUGUCCUUGGUGAAGAGAAGAAGACGGUAGCCGAAAGGAGGAAGCCCCGGCUAACUACGUG
rnacentral:rRNA from 1 species